UCGAAUGUAAAUAAAUGUUUGUACUUUGUUUACGCUCCCUAACUAAUUCAACUAGGAAUACAAAACGCUGCUCACACUUCCACAUGUUUAUUAAUUUAGAAAGCGAAAUAAUGUCAAAAUCGUUAAGUUUCCUCAUAAUGCUAUACUGUAGCCACCCCCUGGCGAAACCAACAUGGCAUCUGAUAGCUACCAAUUACACGAGGGCAGGAAAAAUAAGAGUGACGGGGUGUAAAGAGCAAAGGCUGAUGUCCUGAAGGUCCAGGUGGACAUUGAGGAGCUCACAGCCUCUGGCCACAUUGCCCUACAGCAAGGGGACUGUGAAGAAGCCCUCAGCCUCUUCAAAAAGGCCUUCAAAGCUUCCAUAGAGCUAAAGGAGACCAGGGUCCAGGUGGCAUGUGCCUUUAACCUGGGAGCUGCCUACGUGGAGGCGGGUAAAUCCCUGAAGGGGCUGGACUUCCUGAAGCGGGCCCAGCCAGGAGAGAGGGGCGAGCGGAUAGCAGACCUCCAGUUCAACCUGGCCGUAGCCCAUGAGCCCCUGGGGAACCACAGCCAGGCAGCUGUUCACUGCCUCCAGGCAGCCCAGCUGUACCGCUCCCAGGGGGACGGGGCCAGUGAGGGGGAGACCUGCAUGAAAAUGUCCCACUGUCACCUGCUCCUAAAGGACUGGACCCAGGCAGCUUAGAGCUUCCAGAGGGCUGGGGAGAGCUACAGGAUGGCAGGCAAGCUGGACUCAGCCGCCACGGCCUUCAAAUAGGCAGGGAGUCACAUGCUCCAAUCAGUUGACUUCACCAUGGAUGAUAUCAUCACUGUGCUCACUGAUUGCCUCGAGCUGAGCAACAACAUCAAAAACCCAGAGUUCCUCGCCUUUCAGGUAAGGUGUACAAUGACCUGGGCCUGAGUUUCUCCCAGCUGAAGUUGUUCCAGGAGGCAGCCUGGUGCUCUGAGCGGGCCCUGCCCCUGGUCAGCACCAGGCCCAAAAGGCUGGCCGUGGUCCUACAGAACCUGGGAGCCGUUCACAACACACUGAGCCAAUACCGGCAGGCCCUGGACUACCACCGAUAGACAGCCAGCCUGCAUGUGAGUGGAGCUGGCUCUGCAGAGGUGUCUACCGGAGAGCAGGGGAAGGAGGAGGAAGCCCCGGGUCCAGAUGGAGAACAGUCACACAGUGACGAUGGGAGAAGCAUGUGACUCCCAGUCACCGGUGACAAGAUCUCUCAUUGAGAAUCCGGGGUAUCUGACUGUGCUGCUAGGGGCAAACAGGCAAGGCAUUUAACACACACACUGUCGUAGCAGAAUUAGUUAGGUAACAUUGAUAAAUAAGAUGUUUUAUCUACUUUCAUAAAUAUGCUUAUGUGGGAAAAGUCACUUGGGGCCCAGAGAGGGGAGAGGUCAGGAUUGUCUUCAUAUGUGAGGGUAUCUGUUAAACCAUGUGAAGGGCUCCACAAUGUCUGUACACCAGUCACUCCCUACUUUUCCCAUUGGGGGGAGGAGUCUGGCAGUGUCUGGAACCAUUGUAUGUCCCCUCUGAUGUCGAAACUUGUCUUUCAUAGUAUAUGACCUAGAGGCUCACUCCUCUCAGGGAGCUUGCCCAGGGGUGGGUUGUAUUUGAGAUGGGAGUAUCUAGAAUUGACAAUUGAUAUAUGCCAUUGGAUGAGGUAAUGUUUUGGUAAUAUGAAGUACCAAGAACGAGAAGUAGAACCACGUCUAAGAACGCAAACUGAACGAUAGUUUAUAGCUAAUGCGGUCUGGCUAUGGGAUACUCCUCUCUCAAGUAAAAGUCUUCCUUUGUGCAGUUUUCCUAAGACCUGUGGUUUGUCAUUGUGAGUUGAGAGGGGUGGAUCUUUGCUGUGAAAGAUCUCAGUUGUCAUUAUGUUGACACAGAAUUCAU